rnacentral:rRNA from 1 species
UCAGCAGUCAAGAAUAUUAGUCAAUGCUCGAAAGAGUGAACUAGCUAACUGAAAUCAAUUUAUAAAAAUUGAUAACAUAAGGGAAAAUAAUGAUAUUACCUUAUUAUUAGUGUCGUCCAAAACUGGUGCCAGAAGACUCGGUAAGGCCAGAGACACAAACGUUAAUCGUCUUAAUCAGGCGUAAAGGGUUUGUAGGCGGCUUUAAAAUUUACUUAUAAAAAAUAAAUAAAAAAUAAUAAGUAAAGAAUAAAAGCUAGAAUCAAAUAGAGGAUAAAUGAAAGAAUGCUUAGAGUAGGUCUGAUAUCCUUAGAUACUAAGUAGAAUAUUAAAGGCGAAAGCUUUUUUUCCAUUAAUGAUUGACGCUCAGAAACGAAGGUGAGGAUAGGAAAUAGGAUUAGAUACCCAGAUACCCCUCUCUGUCAACGAUGAAUGGUAGUUAUUAGUAAAUUUAUUAAUGGCAAUGUUAACACGAUAACCAUUCCGCCUUGUGAGUACAACUGCAAAGUUGAAAACAAAAAAAUUAGUCGGUUUCGGAGCAAACGAAGUGAAGCAUGUUAUUUAAUUCGAUUAAUCCGC